UACAGAGGUCUCGAGCGUUGUUCGGAUUCAUUGGGCGUAAAGGGCGUGUAGGCGGUUUGUUAAGUCAUGUGUGAAAUCCCUCGGCUCAACCGGGGAACGACGCAUGAAACUGGCAAGCUAGAGUACCAAAGAGGGUGGUGGAAUUCCCGGUGUAGCGGUGAAAUGCGUAGAUAUCUGGAGGAACACCGGUGGCGAAGGCGGCAUCCUGGACCGGUAUUGACGCUGAGGCGCGAAAGCCAGGGGAGCAAACGGG
rnacentral:rRNA from 1 species